rnacentral:tRNA from 1 species
GGGCGCUUAGCUCAGCGGCAAGAGCACUGCCCUUACAUGGCAGGGGUCGCUGGUUCGAAUCCAGCAGCGCCCA